AAAAUAUUCAGAGUUCUAUUUAAAGCCUGAUUUUAAGAGACCCGUUUAGCCUGAGGCAGAGCUCAAAAAACACAAUGGAUUUUCAGGCUCAAAUUCUCCCCAUUCUACUGCUCUGUGCCACAGUGUCCAAUGGACAAAUUGUGCUCACCCAGUCUCCAGCAUCCCUGGCUGCUUCCCCAGGGGAGAAGGUCACCAUCACCUGCACAGCCAGCUCCAGUGUAAGCAAUAACUACUUGCACUGGUACCAACAAAAGCCAGGAGCCUCUCCAAAGCUCCUAAUUUAUAGAACAUCAAAGCUGGCCUCCGGAGUCCCGGCUCGCUUCAGUGGGAGUGGGUCAGGGACUUCUUACUCUCUCACAAUCAGCAGCAUGGAGGGUGAAGAUGUUGCAACCUAUUACUGUCAGCAGUCUAGCAGUUACCACCCACAGUGA